UACAGAGGAUGCAAGCGUUAUCCGGAAUGAUUGGGCGUAAAGCGUCUGUAGGUGGCUUUUUAAGUCCGCCGUCAAAUCCCAGGGCUCAACUCUGGACAGGCGGUGGAAACUACCAAGCUGGAGUACGGUAGGGGCAGAGGGAAUUUCCGGUGGAGCGGUGAAAUGCGUAGAGAUCGGAAAGAACAUCGGUGGCGAAAGCGCUCUACUGGACCGCAACUGACACUCAGGGACGAAAGCUAGGGGAGCGAAUGGG
rnacentral:rRNA from 1 species